GACGAACGCUGGCGGCGUGCUUAACACAUGCAAGUCAAGGGGGCCCAGCAAUGGGCAACCGGCGAACGGGUGCGUAACACGUGAGCAACCUACCGAAAUGUGGGGGAUAGCCGGCCUAACGGCCGAGUAAUACCGCAUACGCUCUCGAUGAGGCAUUUCAUUGAGAGGAAACCUACGGGACAUUUCGAGGGGCUCGCGGCCUAUCAGCUAGUUGGCGAGGUAACGGCUCACCAAGGCAACGACGGGUAGCUGGUCUGAGAGGAUGGCCAGCCACAUUGGGACUGAGAUACGGCCCAGACUCCUACGGGAGGCAGCAGUGGGGAAUCUUGCGCAAUGGCCUAACGGCUGACGCAGCGACGCCGCGUGUGGGAUGAAGCUCUUCGGAGUGUAAACCACUGUUGCCCGGGACGAAUAGCUCGAUUAAUCGAGCCUGACGGUACCGGGUGAGGAAGCACCGGCUAACUCCGUGCC
rnacentral:rRNA from 1 species